rnacentral:rRNA from 1 species
UUCAAAGGAGGAAAGGCUUACGGUGG